GACGAACGCUGGCGGCGUGCUUAACACAUGCAAGUCGAACGGAAAGGCCCUGCUUUUGUGGGGUGCUCGAGUGGCGAACGGGUGAGUAACACGUGAGUAACCUGCCCUUGACUUUGGGAUAACUUCAGGAAACUGGGGCUACUACCGGAUAGGAGCUCCUGCUGCAUGGUGGGGGUUGGAACGUUUCGGCGGUUGGGGAUGGACUCGCGGCUUAUGAGCUUGUUGGUGGGGUAGUGGCUUACCAAGGCUUUGACGGGUAGCCGGCCUGGGAGGGUGACCGGCCACAUUGGGACUGAGAUACGGCCCAGACUCCAACGGGAGGCAGCAGUGGGGAAUAUUGCACAAUGGGCGGAAGCCUGAGACAGCAACGCCGCGUGCGGGAAGACGGCCUUCGGGUAGUAAACCGCUUUCGCCUGUGACGAAGCGUGAGUGACGGUAAUGGGUAAAGAAGCACCGGCUAACUACGUG
rnacentral:rRNA from 1 species